UCCAGGUUCCCACACCACCCACAAUGCCAACCCUUCUGGUGCUCACCAUAGAGAAAAUCAGACCAAAGAGAAAUAACGUGUUAACGACGGUUGAGAUCUUUCUGACGGGCUCUAUUUUAUUGGACAGAAUGGCGUUCCACCAAGAGCAGCUAGGGUCCCAUGCUUCUAAGACAAGUGGGGCCGUCUAAUUCUUCCCCUUCCCCGUCAGGAAGGAGAAAACUCAGGAGCUGGUUGUCAACAAGGAAGUGAAGUCAUGGUCCAAGGUGCCCAGGGUCCCGCAACUUAUCCGUAGAAGCUACAGAAGAUGAGCUCGCUCCAGUUUUAUUCAACUCCAAGGAGUCUUGGAUUCAUCAUCACUCCACCUUGUGUGGCUCAAGAGAUCGUUGUCUCCUGUUCCCACGUGGUUUUGCCUCGGACAAAGAGAACAAAAGUUGACCGCGGAACAGCCUUAUCUUCAGCCACUCUCUGGGGGAGUUUCCUUAUUUACGUGCAAGCCAUGAUCUUUCAAAUGGUGUUUCACAUGGGACCCCGAUACAGAUGAGAUAAUUGGAGAAGCAGUGGGACUUUCUGAGGACAUGUAGGCCAGUCACUGAGUUCACUUCUUGAAAAAUUAGUCACCUUGUAAAAUUAAAAAAAUAUGUGUAUGUAUAUAUAUAUAUGUAUACACACACAUACACACACACACACAUAUAUAUAAACAAGUAGAAAUGAAUAAAAAUCAUUGGCUUUGACAAAUAUGUUCAACUAUCUGUUAAAAUAGCUCUUGAUUCUUAGUCCUUUCCAUCAUUUAUGUCCAUAUAAUGAUGUGAGCCCAGGUCAUUGAAAAACUAUGUGUCUAAGAAAGAAACAAGAUAUUAUCUAUAACAAGAGAAUUGUCUGAAACAAGAAUUGUCUGAUGGGAACCCGAUCUCCUGUCCUAGCUCUCUUCAAUUCAGUCCAACAGUCCUAAUGUGUCAGUCACAAUGAAACAAUUUGGUGUUCAUUAGCCAGAUUCAGAGGUAAGGAACUUGAGACUUCAAAAUAAAUCUCUCCUCCCAGUAGGCCAGUCUGUAGUCUCCUGGGGAUGUAUCCCUUUUUCUCUGCCAAUCUGGAUGUUUCCAUGUACAGGCUCUGGGAGGCCCUGCCUCAGGCCACUCCAAAGCCAGGGGUUUGAACUCUAAAACCAGGUGUCUCUUCACUACACAACAAUGUUCCCUGCUCCAUGGGUUUUCAACUCUAACAGACUUUCUUCUUUUCUUCAGCCCGGCCAAAAUAAUUCCAUUUCAUAUUUGAGACCCAAAUCACCUCUCAUGUUCUCUCAGAAGUGACCCUUGGCUGCUUCUGUCCAUACGGACAUUUCUGUUCUUUGAACUUAGAGCUGAUACACAAUUAUAAUGACACUGAAGACACAUUAUCUUGGAUACCUUCUCUAUCUGUCUGUUGCAUUCUUUUCAAAGCUAUACAGUAUCUCUGGCUGAAACGAACAACUCAGGAAACAACACAUGUUGGCGAGGAUGCAGAGAAAGGGGAGCCCUCUUACACUGUUGGUGGGAAUGCAACCUGGUGCGGCCACUCUGGAGAACAGUAUGGAGGUUCCUCAAAAAGUUAAAAAUAGAACUUCCCUAUGACCCGGCAAUUGCACUAGUAGGUAUUUACCCAAAGGAUACAAAAACACAGAUUUGAAAGGGCACCUGCACCCCGAAGUUUAUAGCAGCAUUAUCAACAAUAGCUAAACUAUGGAGAGAGCCCAAAUGUCCAUCAACUGAUAAAUGUAUACAGACACAUACACACACACACACACACACACACACACACACAGGAAUAUUACUCAGCCAUCAAAAAGAAUGAAAUCUUGCUACUGGCCAUGACGUGGAUGGAGCUAGAGGGUAUUGUGCCAAGCAAACUGAGUCAGAGAGAGACAAAUACCAUAGGAUUUCCCUCGUACGUGGAAUUGAAGAAACAAAACAGAUAUACAUAGGGGAAGGAAAAAAAGAGAGAGGGAAACAAACCAUAAGAGACAACAGAGAACAAACUGAAUGUAGACGGAGGGAGGAGGGUGGGGAUGGGCUAAAUGGGUGAUGGAUGUUAAGGAGGGAACUUGCUACGAUGAGCGCUGGGUAUUACGUGUAGGUGAUGAAUCACUAAAUUCUACAGUGAAACCGAUUUUACCGUGUAUGCUAACGGGCUAGAAUUCAAAUAAGAUAUUGAAAUUAAAAAAUAAGUAAAAGUGACAUGACACCUCUUUAUUCGUAGACCAGGCUUUGCCUAGUUCCAUACGGAGAGACUUUUCUUUUGGUGACACUUCGGCGUUACAAUGUGGUCAUGACUAUCAUGGUACUUUUAUCUUGGCAUAGUGUUUGUUCCAAUGGUUAUGUGUGUGGGAAAUCCCUUCCGUUGAAGCUCUUGGGGUGAAGGGCGUAGACAUCACCUGGUUUUUGACAGAAGCUGUGCCGGAGAGAAUGUUUCUGCACACCCUCACCAGCGCUGGGUGCCAUAAAUCUUUGGACGGAAUUUAGUGGCUUUCCGUGUGUUAGGUGAGCACAUAGGAAGUGAGGCGCUCGAAAAAACCUAAGUGCUCCCUUUCUUUUUACUCUAGAGAAAGGACUCUCUAGGUUUUGGGAUGCUAAACAAGUUUGAUCUCUCUGAAUCCCAGCUUUCUUAUCUGAAAGAGGGGUGAGGAGUACGUUAAGAAUAUUUCCAGAGCUGUUGUCAGGAUUAAGCAAUGCAAGGGAAAUAAAGAAUUGCAGCCAUGUGCUCCUUGUGUUCCCGAUGACGCCGGGGAGUAGGGCACGAGGCGAGGAAAAUUAGCACCAUCAUCCCACCCAACAGCGGCUGAAUGUUGGCCACACCCGGCUACCGCUGCAAGUUCUUGACUUAUUGGCCUAUUUAACAUUCGCCAUCACACUGCUAUUACCAUCCCCAUUUCAUACCAGCUAGUGAGGAGUGAAUCCCGGAUGGAAACCUAGGCAGUCUGGCCCAGAACUUGAGAUCGUAAAUCUCCCGCCUUUUGGAAAUCAGACGCUGUCCAGCAGGUAGCCCGCCCUUUGUUUGUCUCGGCCUGACGUGCAGCCCCCACAGCACCUUCUUGCUAAGGCCGGGCCGGCUUCUGGGACCAGGCUUUACCGCCCCUCCGUGGGCGUGAAUCACAUGAAUAAGUGCCACCUGCUGUGGUUCCAUAAAAACGCUGUAAUUAAAGAGGACAGCCAGGGGAAAACAAUAAACAUACUUAUUUCAGCCAGGUAAAAAACCAAAAUCACAAUUUACUUUAUGCAUCCAAAGACUGAUUCGAUCUGUGCUGCAUACUAGAAAAGCCCCACACCUAGUUAAGCCCUACAUAGAUCCCCACGGCCAUAAUUUUACACUACGUCUGUAGCAGGUGCCUUUAAUCCGCCACGGGGGCGGGGGGCGGAGAGUAAGCCGGAGUAAGAAUUGUGUACGUCAAUUUUUAAAUAGAGAACACUCCCCCAUGCCCAAAGUGUACAGGUCAUUUUAUUGCAGUGGAAACACCUAACCUGUCCCGAGGCAGGGGUGGUGGUAGGGGAUGGCGAUCUUCUUGUGACAUUACAAAAGGACAGUGAGGUUGGGAGUGUCAGAAAGCACGUGUGAACUUUUGUUGUGCUCUUAGGACAGAUGGAGGCAGGUCUGAGGGGUGCAGCCUCAGGCUUUCAAAAGAGGUCCCGCCUUGUGAACCGACAAAGUAUACACAAUCACACACAGGGAAAAUGCCUGGAAGGUUAUACAGCACAAUAUUAACUCCACGCGGCGGGAUUAGAGGACAUUCUCAUGUUUUAAAAGUGUGCUCCUGGGGCGCCUGGGUGGCUCAGUCGGUUUAGUGUCCGACUCCGGCUCGGGUCACGAUCUCACAGUUCGUGGGUUUGAGCCUCACCUCGGGUUUUGCGCUGACAGCGUGAAGCCUGCUUCGGGUUCUCUGUCUCCCUCUCUCUGUCCCUUCUCUGCUUGUACUCUGUCUCUCUCUCGGAAAUAAACAUUAAAAAGAAAUUUAAAAAAAUGUCUUUCUGGAGGUGUCUGGGUGGCCCAGUGGGUUUAGGGUCUGACUCUUGAUUUCUGCUCGGGUCAUGAUCCCAGGGUUGUGGGACUGAGAACUGCGUGGGGCUCACACUGAGCAUCGAGCCUGCUCAAGACUCUC